rnacentral:rRNA from 1 species
AACCUCCGCAAUGUGAGAAAUCGCGACGGGGGGAUCCCAAGUGCCAUUCUUAACGGGAUGGCUUUUCAUUAGUGUAAAGAGCUUUUGGAAUAAGGGCUGGGCAAGACCGGUGCCAGCCGCCGCGGUAACACCGGCAGCUCUAGUGGUAGCAGUUUUUAUUGGGCCUAAAGCGUCCGUAGCCGGUUUAAUAAGUCUCUGGUGAAAUCCUGUAGCUUAACUGUGGGAAUUGCUGGAGAUACUAUUAGACUUGAGACCGGGAGAGGUUAGAGGUACUCCCAGGGUAGAGGUGAAAUUCUGUAAUCCUGGGAGGACCGCCUGUUGCGAAGGCGUCUAACUGGAACGGUUCUGACGGUGAGGGACGAAAGUUAGGGGCGCGAACCGGAUUAGAUACCCGGGUAGUCCUAACUGUAAACGAUGCGGACUUGGUGUUGGGGUGGCUUUGAGUUGUUCCGGUGCCGAAGGGAAGCUGUUAAGUCCGCCGCCUGGGAAGUACGGUCGCAAGACUGAAACUUAAAGAAUU